rnacentral:lncRNA from 1 species
GAACAAGCCAGGAGGUACCAGAGUCAUUCUUCAGUGAUGUAAAUGCUACACAGGGCAUGUAAAUGCUUAUAGGACUUAUUGUUCCGAGGAUAUGGACUCAGACAGAGGAACACUGGCCAGCAUGCUAGGGACGUGACAUUAGGUUGUCAUUCUGUGGAAGGGUUCUGGCAAAAGCCAGUUGUGUUUCUAGAAUUUCAAUCCAGUGAGUUGGAGUUUAGGGGAACUGGAAGGCAAGCAAGGAAGUUCUAGGGGGUAAAUUCCGGCUUUAGGAUUGGGCUGACGCAAUGAAAGUUGUAGGGAAAUCAGACUGGGAACCAGGUGGACUCCCAGAGGGACUCAUUCCAGAGAUUAUGGUGUCAAGUCUAAUUGACAACUGUGCCCCAGCACCAGAGAAGCUAACAUUGCUGGAUCAGAUCAGGGAUAGGCUGGGGAAAUGGAAUUAAUUCUAAGAUCCGUAAGAUGCUUGAUAAAUAUAGACAGCGCUUACCUAGCGCUGAUUUUGUUCUAGGAACUGUUGAAGCGCUUUACAUGUAUUGUUACAGUUCACCUGCAGAGCAACUCCUAGAGUUGACUUGGGCACCAGAAGGGGACUUUAUCUGCAUGUGAAGAUCCCCAGAACUUGCCCCAGCUGGGAGGGUCAGAGAAAGGCAAGGAAGGUGGAGAAGCAUGCAUAUUAUUCCACCGAAAACACCCUCUGGACCUACGUGAAAGGACUAACCUAAAGUCAAGCACAGAGAAGAGAUAGAUAUCAUCAAAUUAGAAAGUACAAUACAACUGUGUUCUCUUUUUCCCCAAUAAACAAUAAAGAAGUGGGGACUACAACCUCAAAGUGAACAAACACAGAGAAAGCAGAGAUCCUAAUAUCUGAUGACUUUGAAAGAUCUUUGAAGAGGAACCCAUCUCAGAAUUCAAGAGAGAUCUGAUUUUAAUUCCCAGCUCUACCAUCAAAAAGUCCGGUCUGCUCCCCAGUGUCUCUAAGUGUAGAGAGAGAAAUUCUUACCUUGGCUAUCAGCUAUCGCCAAACUUACUGUAAUGAAGAAACGAAGUUACAAUUACGACAGGAAUAUCAAAAUGCCAUGAGGAUGCAGGAUUUUAUGAUCUAUUCCAAGAAAUAAGAUGAUAAGGAAAGUUUGUAUGCAGUAGAAAGAAUAUGGGAUUUGGAGUCAAAGUUAUGUCCAAAUUCUGAGUUGACCCUUAAUGAACUGUGUUACCUUAUAAGUCAUUUAACACCUCAGCCUUAUUUUUCACAAUCUUACAAUAUCUACUUCAUGGAAUUAUUAUGAAAUAUCAGAUAAUACAUGUAAAGGGUCUAGAAUUGUGUAAGGCCCAGAGUGGGUACUCAAUGAAGAUUAGGUAUUAUUGAAAAGUGUUAAAUAAAACAUAUGAGGCGAAGAAGGC